rnacentral:snRNA from 1 species
AUACCUUUCUCGGCCUUUUGGCUAAGAUCAAGUGUAUCUGUAUCAGUUUAAUAUCUGAUACGUGGGCCAUAGGUCCACACGAUAUUAAAUUACUUUUUUAAAGGGGAGGUUCCACUAUAGUAGCUUGCUACUAGGAUCCUCAAGCGUCGCCCUAGCGUUGCACUACUGCAAGGGCCAGGCGCACCCUCC